rnacentral:lncRNA from 1 species
AGAAGAGGAGAAGUAGAAGAAGAGAAGUAGAAGAAGAGAAGUUGAAGCGGAGAAUAAAAUAAGAAAGCAGAAGAAGAAGAAGAAGAAGAAGAAGAAGAAGAAGAAGAAGAAGAAAAAGACAUUUCUACGUAUAUAGAUGCUUAAUUAGUGUUUCUUAGAUUAUUGCUUAAUUUUGCUAUUGUAUAGGCUUAAGUGUUAAUAGUUUAUUUUACU